CUGUUUUGAAAUACAAUGUCACUAAGUGAAAAGCCUUCACAGACAAGCUGAAUUUCAAUUUUAAAAAUACAACCAAUCUCAGAAGCAAAGGAAAUGAGUGCCCUGUUAACAUCUCAUGAACAUAUAUUCCCUGAUAAUGCAUAAUCGGGCUGGCAGCCCUUACAGCAUUUUAGAUAGCCGAUUAUUAGAAGAGGUAGGGUUUUAUAAUUAGGCCCUCCUGUUAGCUGAGAAGAAUUGCCAAGACUCAUUCUUGAUAUGGACAUCUUUAAAACACAAGCAAUCACCUUCCAACACAUGCUGAGAUACGAAGUUGCUGUAGUCUACAUUUGCUAUUAUUAGAUGGGGAUGGGAGGGGGACUGGAUACAAUUAAGUGUAUCACAUGAACCAUUUUCAAUAAGCUAGACUCAUUUUUUUUAACCCAACCACAUUUAGUAAUUUUAUCCUAUUAGAAUUUUUAUAUGAUUUUUGACAUUCAGAUUAAUUCCCCUGCUGUUUCAGUAUGUAAUGCAAUCUACAUCACAACGAAACCAUGGUAACUGUCAUUUAUUUUGCUAUAAACUCAGGUCUUGAAAUGAUUUAUAUAGACCAUCUGAUUUUCACCCAAUCACUAGUUUACAGUUUUUCUAUGUUAUCAAUUCUCAUAGCCACUUUGCCGGUUUUAAGGGCCCAAUUUAUGCAGAGCUAUUUCAACUUUUAUAGCUUAGGAAUUUCAGACCAAAAAUAUAUUAACUGUGCUUUCACACUUCAUUCCUCUUUCUUCUACACUGUACAUUUACCCACAACUCUAAAUUCAAAUUUUCUGCUUUUCCAUGACUUCAUUUAUACAGGGAGAUGAAAUAUGCCAUUAAACAACAAAGAACACCACCAGCAGAAAAAUCAUCUUCUUCAUGUUUAAGAUAUGAAUUGAAAAAAUGGAUUGUAUCUGCUCAUAGGAUGAGUCUUGAAAACUGAUCAUUAGGAAAGAAAAUGUUUUAUAUUUGCAUUUGACCCUCAUUCAGAAUUUCACCUCCAUAUUAUAGCAUUUCCUCAACUUUUCAGCAAUUUUAGUCUUCGGACUUUGGUGAACUACAAACUUUACUAAUCCCUACUUUAUUUGAAGUUUGUUCUAUACAAGUCUGUGCUUAUUAAGAGAGCUUUGUCUAUGUCAACUAUAUAUCAGCUAUCUUAAUUUUUUAAAAAGUGCUCUGUCAAUUUUCCCAAACCAUUUUAUACAGUAGCUCUGCCGUUUUGAAUUUUAAGUGAGACUGCUCAUGAGAAGAGACCAAUUUUCACUUCUCAGAAAACAUGCUUUGCUCCCACUGUACUCCCGGAGUGCUCUGCACGUAGAAGGAUCUCAAUAAAGGCAUCACAGCCUACUUCCUGUCUAGAGGAACAGGCACA